GUCUACGGCCAUACCACCCUGAACGUGCCCGAUCUCGUCUGAUCUCGGAAGCUAAGCAGGGUCGGGCCUGGUUAGUACUUGGAUGGGAGAGUUGACAUAUAUUUGAAAGGAAACAUGGUCAAAAGUAGUAU
rnacentral:rRNA from 1 species